AUUGAACGCUGGCGGCAUGCCUUACACAUGCAAGUCGAACGGUAACGGGCCUUCGGGUGCCGACGAGUGGCGAACGGGUGAGUAAUACAUCGGAACGUGCCCGAUCGUGGGGGAUAACGAGGCGAAAGCUUUGCUGAUACCGCAUACGAUCUACGGAUGAAAGCAGGGGACCGCAAGGCCUUGCGCGGACGGAGCGGCCGAUGGCAGAUUAGGUAGUUGGUGGGAUAAAAGCUUACCAAGCCGACGAUCUGUAGCUGGUCUGAGAGGAUGAUCAGCCACACUGGGACUGAGACACGGCCCAGACUCCUACGGGAGGCAGCAGUGGGGAAUUUUGGACAAAGGGCGCAAGCCUGAUCCAGCCAUGCCGCGUGCAGGAUGAAGGCCUUCGGGUUGUAAACUGCUUUUGUACGGAACGAAAAGCCUUCUUUUAAUACAGGAGGGUCAUGACGGUACCGUAAGAAUAAGCACCGGCUAACUACGUG
rnacentral:rRNA from 1 species